rnacentral:rRNA from 1 species
UACGAAGGGGGCUAGCGUUGCUCGGAAUCACUGGGCGUAAAGCGCACGUAGGCGGAUUGCUAAGUCAGGGGUGAAAUCCUGGAGCUCAACUCCAGAACUGCCUUUGAUACUGAGGAUCUUGAGUUCGGGAGAGGUGAGUGGAACUGCGAGUGUAGAGGUGAAAUUCGUAGAUAUUCGCAAGAACACCAGUGGCGAAGGCGGCUCACUGGCCCGUUACUGACGCUGAGGCACGAAAGCGUGGGGAGCAAACAGG